CUGUUCAAAGGUAUCUUUGGAAAUCAAGGGAUGAAGCGGAUAAUGUCCUUGCCAACCGUUCAAAAGAAGCUGGAAUGGAGAAAAUUGCAGGAAUUAACAAGGAGGAGAUUUUUAUCAAUUAAUGGGACCUCGAACAUGGGUCAAACCUGAUGACUGGAUUUCCUGGAUCUCCUUAAGUUUACCUGUUUCCUGAUAGAAUUUCAAAAACCGGUUUUUCAAAUCAUCGACAUCUGGCAGCGAAAUUGCCAACUACGAGUUGCAUUUCCAAAAUUAAUCAUAGUAUACAGUACAAUGUUUGUAAAGAUUUCUGACCGGGAGCAAAUCACAUAUUGUAUGAAUUGUAGAUAAUUAUAUAGCAGACCUUUA